AUUGAACGCUGGCGGCAUGCUUUACACAUGCAAGUCGAACGGUAACAGCACUUCGGUGGCUGACGAGUGGCGAACGGGUGAGUAAUACAUCGGAACGUGCCUAGUAGUGGGGGAUAACUACUCGAAAGAGUAGCUAAUACCGCAUGAGAUCUAAGGAUGAAAGCAGGGGACCUUCGGGCCUUGCGCUACUAGAGCGGCUGAUGGCAGAUUAGGUAGUUGGUGGGAUAAAAGCUUACCAAGCCGACGAUCUGUAGCUGGUCUGAGAGGACGACCAGCCACACUGGGACUGAGACACGGCCCAGACUCCUACGGGAGGCAGCAGUGGGGAAUUUUGGACAAUGGGAGCAAGCCUGAUCCAGCAAUGCCGCGUGCAGGAUGAAGGCCUUCGGGUUGUAAACUGCUUUUGUACGGAACGAAAAGCCCUCUUCUAAUACAGGAGGGUCAUGACGGUACCGUAAGAAUAAGCACCGGCUAACUACGUG
rnacentral:rRNA from 1 species